AAUUAUCCUAUAUAUUAAUAAACGGAUGUAAGAAACAUUAACAAAGGGCUUUUUAGGGAUUUCAUACCAAAGAGUUACUACGUGUCUGUAUACAAAGGGAACAGAUGUCUUGUCUAGUAAAUAAAGACUCUGUGUAAGAAAGAGAGAAUGCGGCGUCAAAGGUGAUGGGGUCGGCCACGGCGGCGCGCGGCGGAGCUGUGGCGGAUCCACGGCGGCGAGCAGGGUUUGUGACUGGGAUCCGCCGGCGAGCCGGGUUUGUGACUGUACACGAGUAGAGAGCGACGAGGGAUGUUAGAUCGAUGGCUGCCAUAGCUCCGACAGUGAUGACAGUCAAGCUGCUAGGGUUCGGACUAAGUUCUGGCAAGUUUCCGGUUCGUCGCAACAUGCAGAUCCUAGGUCGAGUCAGUGUUGGUGGUCGAUCACGGUUGUGUGACAUUAGUACUAUUUGACACCGUUUUACGCCCCGCCGCAACGCGGGGUGGGCUUUGGGGGUUUUCCAAAGAAAAAAUGGUUAUGCAUAUGGUUGUCGUAACCUUGGCUUUAGGGGUUUUCCAAAAAAAAAUUAUUAUUUUUUACUUUUCACCAAAAAGUAUUUCAUAAAUUACUUUUAACCUUGGCUUUAAGGUGUUUGAUCAAAUGCCUAUGAUUUUUUUAAUAUUAUUUUGUUAAUUCAUAGGUUAUCUAUUGAAUGUUUGACAUGAAUGUAUACAUAACAUCUUCAAGGUAUCAUUUCAGUUUUUAUAUAUGUCGGUUAAGUGCAGUGAAUAUGGUAGUAGUUGUGCAAUAUUAGAUUGUACAAAAGUGAACCUGUGCAAUAAAAGAUUGUACAAAAUUGAACAGUAGUGUAGUGGUACCUCUGGCCACCCAAUUGCCACUUUGCACCGACUUACACCAGGUACACAUAUUUGGGGAUUUCUUCGAAUUUCAUUGAUAACUUUUUAAUAUAUAUUAAUUGUGAGAUUGGUCGCUUUUUUAUUUGCUUUUUAAAAGCUUUUCAAGUUUUAGGGAUAUGAUGUGUAAUUAACUUUCUAAUUAAAGCUCAUUACUAUUCAAAUAAAAUAUGAUGUGUAAUCUGUAUCGUGGACCUAAUUUAGUUGUUGAAGACGAGCCAGGGAUGAAGGAGGAGCAAGCGGCGUUUAUGAAGGAGCUAGAGACUUUCCACUAGGGCAGGGAAGAGAAACGGCGGCGUCGUUUAGGGUUCCGCCGCAAACACAACGCCGGUGGCGACUGUGGUUGACGUUGCAAGCUCCGGUUCUGGCAAGAGAAGAAUAUUUGAUACUUUUUCAGCAUAAUUCGUUAAUCUUGAAUCGGUUCCGGUGAAGCUCCGAUGAACCAUUCAACACUUGAAUGUCUAAGAUCUGUUUAGAUCGGUGUCUCUCAGGCCACCAUCGAUGGGUUAGGGAGGGAGCUGUGGCACAUGAAGACUUUGAGGGGCAUAAAGUGACUAUUGGAGCUGGUGAUUUGCAGUGGAUGACUUACAGAUAGACAUAAGAGGGAUGGGAAUCAUUGGGAUGACUAUUCGUGUAUGGAUUGAUAGAUAAAAAUUGUUGAGCUUUGGAAACCCAAAACAUAUUGGAUGGGGCCUCUGGUGUGGAAGUGAUAAAAAAGUCAAGGGUCGAGUUCGGUAUCAGGUGAUACCUUAGCCGAGUAAAAGGGUUUUUGAAGACUAUUAGGAUGCUUUCAAUGAUGACUGGGAGCCUCGGAUUAGUGGUCAAGACUAAUGUUCAUGAUAUUUGGGUCAAAGAAAAAUGUUAAUUGCAUAUUAUCUCAACAAGUUAUAUUUAUUUGUGAAUGUGUUCUUGCUGUUGUAAUCUCAUUUGCCAUUCUUGCUUUGGGAGGCUCAAAGAUCAUGAUGUAUGAUUUAGAUAGAAAGGUAGAUAAGAAGACUUUGUACAACAGUUAUUGUUAUUUUUUUUUAUUUUUGGUACUAACUAGGCGGAAUACUUUAUAAAACAAAUAUUUUAAUUCGUCUGUA